GUCGUCGAAUCGCUAGAUGAUGCCAUUCGGCCAGUCUUGAAGCGGUAAACUGCGUAGCCUUUCAUCGCACCUUUAUUCAAUCAAACCGUAUAGGAUAACUCAUGAAACAUGCUUCAAAACUUAUCCCGACUCACCAUAUGGCGGAUCCUGGAUGAGUCCAAGAGCAGUCUCUAGAUCUCUCUCAAGAACAUCAUUCUGCGACUCCUUGAGCUCCAUCCCUAAUAAAGACGGUAUGAGUUACAAAACAACGCCUUCUUAAUUUUCAAGAAUCUUUUUCAAGGGCAAUAACACAGACGUGACUAAAAAAGAAUCAAGUUAGCGAUCCAACUACCAAGAUAUUUACUCUCUUCGCUCGAAACCCAAAAGCCAUUUCAAACUCGAAAGUGGGGGGCAUAUGUUAUAGAAAAGAUCCACCGAUCAAAACCAAUCCUCCACAAAGAUGCACCAAAAAUGAUACAAUGAGGUACACCAAUUGUGAAUCCAGACACCAUCCAUAUGGCCAACCAUAUAGAUGAAGUCUGCACCGACACCAAUGACUAGCAACCUCGAUAUGGAGAAGUGGAAGAAAUUCCUCCCACGAUAAAGGCCAGAACGUGGCCUACCAACCUGCAGAGCUAAACGUAACAAAUACAGAUUCCAGCUAACAGCCUACGAGUUCAACCUCCAAAUAAAAGAGGUACAAAGAGAACCCUCAAGAUAAGCAAACUUACUCCAUCCUUGCAAUCUUUUCUCUCCACUACUCCCAAAGCUCCAACUAACAAGCAUUAAAAGAUCCCCCAUUUAAACAUCCCUGAUGAGUAUAGACUUCUUUGCAAAUACCUUUCGAUGUCGCAAAUCUCGAUCAGCACCUUGCUCUAGCCACAUCAGCACUCCACCUCAGCCUUGCAAUAACAAAAAUAGCAAAGAAUUUUGUGCAAUACAAAAAUAUCAUCAAUGUAGGACUUGGAUCAGCUAUCAGGGACAUUUUUAUUUCCAAAAAUUAUCUAUACUUAUGAUCAUUAUAUAAUAAGGGAUUAAAUAAGAUCAAUUGGAAUUGGACAAAGAUAUAUUUUGGGAUAGGAAAAUUUACUUUACACUGCAAUCAGCAUCUCC
rnacentral:lncRNA from 1 species